rnacentral:rRNA from 1 species
AACCUCCUACGGGGGGCAGCAGUAGGGAAUCUUCCACAAUGGACGAAAGUCUGAUGGAGCAACGCCGCGUGAGUGAAGAAGGGUUUCGGCUCGUAAAGCUCUGUUGGUAGUGAAGCAAGAUAGAGGUAGUAACUGGCCUUUUUUUUACGGUAAUUACUUAGAAAGUCACGGCUUACUACGUGCCAGCAGCCGCGGUAAUACGUAGGUGGCAAGCGUUGUCCGGAUUUAUUGGGCGUAA